AGGGAAAUAGCUCAGUGGUAGAGCGCAUGCUUAACAUAUAUGAGGUCCUGAGUUCAACCCUCCGUACCUCCA
rnacentral:tRNA from 1 species